GGAGAGAGAGAGAGAGAGAGAGAAAGAGAGAGAGAGAGAGAGAGAGAGAGGGAGAGGCAGAGACCAGGCCCUGCAGAGAUCGGGGUUUGCUCCUUCAUAAAACUCCUGCAGGAUUAUUUUCGUAGACGUUUUCUCAGCUCUCCUUCUCUGAGUUUUGCAGAUCUUUGUCGUAUCUCCGGCAGGCCGUCUUCUUCUGCACAGACCACAGAAGGUGCUGCUUUGUUGUCCUGCUGGUGUGAUGGACAGUGUCUGCCAUGUUUUUGUUUCCCAGAGCUGCAUCGACUGGAACAGAGACGUCCUGAAGAGAGAGCUGGGCCUGGAGGAGGCAGACAUCAUCGACCUGCCGAUUCUCUUCCAGGUCCAUUGGUCAGGACCGGAGGAGCCGCACAGAGCUUCAGCUUUCUACCCUGACAUGGUAUUUCCAGAGAUGGAACAGAGAUGUGAUCAUGUUAGCUCUCAUUCUUGGUCUCAUGUUUGUUAUCAUCUGUUUCUAGGUGAACAUGGUGGUCUUGGGGAAAAACCUCGCCAUCCCAAAGCCGUAUGGCCCCAAAGUGAACGGCCGCUGUGCCCUGGAGACCGAAGUGAGCUCCCUGCUGGAGGGUCUGGGUCUCAGCUGCACCUUCAUCGAUGACUUCGCCUCCUACCAUGAAAUGCUGGGAGAGCUGCACUGCGGCUCCAACGUCCUCAGGAAACCGUUUGACUUCAAGUGGUGGAACAUGGAGAUGUGAGGGGAACUGGAGAGGGGACAGAGAUGGUUUCUGAAGAUACUUGAUAGAAAAUAAAACAUGUUCAGUCUGUUAAAGUUAGAAAAGCUUUUUUUGGAUCAUGUUUAUCGAUGGUUUCCUUUUCGCUUGUUUCUGUUUCAGCCUGUGACGAGUGUUUAAUGAAAAUCGCUUUAACACGUGAUUAUAAGUCCAUGCGGUGAUUUCCACUUCAGAGUCAUGUCUGUUUUUGAUGUGGUGCCUCCUGAAGGCCUGAGAAUCACAGCCAUCCAGUAUCCAGGAUGUACUUUAGUGCAGAUUCUUCUCCAGCACAUUUCUUUUUAAUAUUGUUUGCUGUAAACUGAUGAAAUCCAACAUUUGAUCUGUUUCAUUGCAGUUUUAUUUUCAUUAAAUAUCGGCUCUAAACAAGCUGUGAAAUCAUCAAA
rnacentral:lncRNA from 1 species